UACGGGGGGGGUAAGCGUUGUUCGGAAUUACUGGGCGUAAAGGGCUCGUAGGCGGCCAACUAAGUCAGACGUGAAAUCCCUCAGCUUAACUGGGGAACUGCGUCUGAUACUGGAUGGCUUGGAUUCGGGAGAGGAAUGCGGAAUUCCAGGUGUAGCGGUGAAAUGCGUAGAUAUCUGGAGGAACACCGGUGGCGAAGGCGGGUCUCUGGGCCGAUACUGACGCUGAGGAGCGAAAGCAUGGGUAGCGAACAGG
rnacentral:rRNA from 1 species